rfam:Myotis brandtii contig304939, whole genome shotgun sequence.
GGCAGUUCUUAGGUGAUGCACCCAAGAAUCGGGCUCCCUUCUCUCUGAUUCCAGGUGUGUCACCUGAGAACCACU